UAGAUGGUGUAAAGAAGGCAAAAAUGAUCAAGAAGAUGCAUGAGCAAGCUAGGAGCAGAAUUGAGGCUCAAAAUGCCAAGUACGCAUCCAAAGCAAAUAAGGGCCAAAAACCUCUAACCUUUGAGAAGGGUGACCUUGUGUGGGUGCACUUAAGGAAAGAGCGAUUUCCUAACCAUAGGAAAUCUAAAUUACAACCAAGGAGUGAUGGACCGUUUAGAGUGGAGGAGAAGAUUAAUGAUAAUGCUUACAAGAUUGACCUACAAGGUAAGUAUGGUGCUAUUAGUGACACUUUCAAUGUUUUUGACUUAUCUCAUUUUCAUGGUGCAGAUUUAAAUUAGAGGACGAAUUCUUCUCAAGAAGGAGGAGAUGAUGAGGACAUCAUGGUGGACAUUGAGGCACCAGAAUUUGAAGGAGCCAUCACAAGAGCUAGAGCCAAAACAUUGUAAGCUAUGGUGAUUGACUAUUCGGCCAAUGAAGAAGACACCAUGAACAAUUUGGCCUAGGGGAUUCCAAGCCAAGAAGCAUGUUUCACAAUGAUGAACAUACAUGUCCAAGGUAGUACACAUAUAGCCGAAUACAUUGGAGGCUAUUUGGGAGAGUGCCAAGUUGCCAUGUCAUGUGGCAUGCCAAGUAGGAGCUAAUAUGGCAGCAUGGAUAAGGUGGCAACCAAGGUAGCAAUUCUUACCAGUUGUGUUCACGCUAUUACAAUUUGGAGAUAGUAAAUGAUUGCUGAAUGAAUUUAAUGUGGAAUUUCAUGGUCCUAAAGAGAGUACUGUCUCUUCUCCUUUGGCCUUUAUGAAGGUGGUGUCUGGAAAAUUUGGGUUGAGCUUCCUGACGCUUAUCCAUACAACUCUCCUUCUAUUGGAUCUUUUGAAUGUUUUCGUGGUUUUCCAACCACACUGCUUUAUCCUAAUCCUUAAGAUCCACUCAAUGGCGAUGCCGCAUGCGCAUCAUUGAUGAUGAAGGAUCGAGAAAAGUAUGAUCAGAAAGUGAAAGCUGAGAUUUAUGCAGAAUCAUUUGUCCAUGUUUUAUUUCCACAUAUGUAGCUUCCAGGAACCAAUCAAUGAAAUCUACUGGAUUUAGAGAA